UACAAGUGGUGUGACAGGAUCUUGUAUCAGAUUAUCUCCAUGUAAAAUAUGUUGAUAUACCGAUAUGAUGCGUGUAUUACAAGAUAUCUAAAACAUUUACAGGUGAUAAGAACAUAAUAAUACACAGGUUAAGGAGGUAGAGUUGGCAAGCCUCAAUAUGGAUAACAAGCCUCGAUGUCGUUUGGUAGAACGUGCCUGUCCUGCUAAUGUCUUCUGAGAGAAUAUCAUUUCAACUGCCCUGUCCAAUUUAAACCAAUUAACACCGGUUGAAGAUGCCUGGAUAAUCCUGACAUAAGAGGCAGG